CACAGACAGCGACGUGAUAACAGCUGCUUGCAAGACUUAUUUUGAGUCUUUGAAAAGGAGCCAUCGUCUCGAUCAGCCAGAAAAUGCUCCCCAGAAAAAGAAAUUAAACAAUGCAAUGAAGACUAGACAACGGAAAACAAGGUUGCUGGCCUCCAGGGCUAGAUGUGUACAGACUCCCGCUGAAAUGGCUGUGUGGGCGCAUGCAACCCUUGACCUGAUGUCAGAAGAAGAAGAUGGCGUCGUAGAUGGACGGGCGGUGUGGAUAGUUUCACCUCCACCCCAAAGAGACGAGGAGCUUUCUGAUUUGUGCCAGGUGCUUCAGCAGAGGAAAGACAAGCAGAGUGCAGGGAGACAAUGGCUCGUUUUUAGCUCUGUUAAA